GGGCAGGGCGCAGUUAACUGCGAGGAAGGGAAGCUUGUACAUCUGACAGUCGAGGCAAAGAUCAUCGGGCUAAAUAGAAAGCUGGAAGAAGGAAAAGGUCAAACAGAGAAGAUCAGAAAAGAUUGAAGCAGAAGUCUCCAAGCUCUGACACUGACCUCACCAUCACCAGUCUGAGUGGGAGGCAGCUAACCAGCUCACAGGAGGAGGCUUUCUUGAGAAAACUGCAGGAUGAACCCCACCUUUGUCAAAUGGGUUCUGACAUCAAGAAUGAGUUUCAGAGAGUUCCCCUGUGGGAUGUGUUGGGUGCGUCUCGGCCACCGCUGCAUCCCUGCAUGCUUCGCGGAUCGGUAUCGGUUGGCAGCCUAGAGCGUGGGGACUACUGCACCACCCCAACCUCCGACGACUCAGCCUAACACACCAUCAUCAGUGUGCCCGAUGUCUUCCCGAUUCCCGUAAGUGAUACUACACCGUACAUACGUUAUUUCUACUUUAUAUAGGCUGUGUAUUUUUAGGUGUUAUUUGGUAUAAUUUGGCAGCUUCAUAGUUUAAAGGUUACUGGAGAGAGUGUUUUUGCCGAGAGCGCUUGCGUGAGAUUUUCACUAUGGAGAACCGGGCAGGCAAUGAUUGUAGAGAAGUAUUUCUACUUUGUAUAGGCUGUAUAUUUAUAUCAUUCCUGCUUUUACUACAUGUUACUGUUAUUUUAGGUUUUAUGUGUUAUUUGGCAUGAUUUGGUAGGUUAUUUUUGGGUCUGCAAACGCUCACAAAUUUUUCCCAUAUAAAUAAAUGGUAAUUGCUUCUUCGCUUUACGACAUUCCGGCUUACGAACCGUUUCAUAGGAACGCUCUACCUUCGGAUGGCGAGGGAAACCUGUAUUCAGGACAUUUAUAAAAACAGGUGUGUAAAAAGGGCACAAAGGAUUAUUGGAGACCCGAGUCAUCCCAACAACAAACUUUUCCAGCAGCUACUGUCUGGGAAAUGGUACCACAGCAUAAAAGCCAGGGCAAACAGGCUCCAGGACAGCUUCUUCCACCAGGCUGCUUAAUUCAUGCUGACACA